GAUGAACGCUAGCUACAGGCUUAACACAUGCAAGUCGAGGGGCAGCAUGAACUUAGCUUGCUAAGUUUGAUGGCGACCGGCGCACGGGUGAGUAACACGUAUCCAACCUUCCGUUUACUCAGGGAUAGCCUUUCGAAAGAAAGAUUAAUACCUGAUAGUAUGGUGAGAUUGCAUGAUAACACCAUUAAAGAUUUAUUGGUAAACGAUGGGGAUGCGUUCCAUUAGGUAGUAGGCGGGGUAACGGCCCACCUAGCCUGCGAUGGAUAGGGGUUUUGAGAGGAAGGUCCCCCCACAUUGGUACUGAGACACGGACCAGACUCCUACGGGAGGCAGCAGUGAGGAAUAUUGGUCAAUGGGCGAGAGCCUGAACCAGCCAAGUCGCGUGGAGGAAGACUGCCCUACGGGUUGUAAACUCCUUUUACCUGGGAAUAACGGGCGCUAUGCGUAGCGCUGUGCAUGUACCGGGAGAAUAAGCAUCGGCUAAUUCCGUGCCAGCAG
rnacentral:rRNA from 1 species